UAAAUUUCACGACUUGCCCUUUCUUCUUUAAGAUCACAAUUUAUCUUUUAGAAACACAUAUAUACACAUUACUCAGUAUAACAUGUAGUGAAUUUUUCCAUGAAUAUACAUAUACAACCAAAUUAAUAAUAAAGGUUUAUCUCUUAUAAGGCCAGUCGGGGCAUCUUCACUUUUCCUUUUGAGCUUCGUUGUUCCAAUAAUACUCACCAUAUACAUCUAGAAUUUCC
rnacentral:lncRNA from 1 species